AGGGAAUCUUCGGCAAUGGACGAAAGUCUGACCGAGCAACGCCGCGUGAGUGAAGAAGGUUUUCGGAUCGUAAAACUCUGUUGGUAGAGAAGAACGUUGGUGAGAGUGGAAAGCUCAUCAAGUGACGGUAACUACCCAGAAAGGGACGGCUAACUACGUGCCAGCAGCCGCGGUAAUACGUAGGUCCCGAGCGUUGUCCGGAUUUAUUGGGCGUAAAGCGAGCGCAGGUGGUUUAUUAAGUCUGGUGUAAAAGGCAGUGGCUCAACCAUUGUAUGCAUUGGAAACUGGUAGACUUGAGUGCAGGAGAGGAGAGUGGAAUUCCAUGUGUAGCGGUGAAAUGCGUAGAUAUAUGGAGGAACACCGGUGGCGAAAGCGGCUCUCUGGCCUGUAACUGACACUGAGGCUCGAAAGCGUGGGGAGCAAACAGGAUUAGAUACCCUGGUAGUCCACGCCGUAAACGAUGAGUGCUAGAUGUAGGGAGCUAUAAGUUCUCUGUAUCGCAGCUAACGCAAUAAGCACUCCGCCUGGGGGAGUACGACCGCAAGGUUGAAAC
rnacentral:rRNA from 1 species